UCGCAGUAUAUGAAUUCUAUUUGGUGUGGCAUACCUCACAUUAUUCUACCCAGGUUUCUAAAUUGACUCAUAAAGACCAUAGAUUAUAUGAUUCAAAUGUGAAUGACAUGCCUCAAACUAUUCAACUAAAUUAAGUACAGACUUAAUAACUCUUAAAAAACUAGAAAGCAACUCAACAUCCUUACAUAUUUAACAAAUCAAUUUCAAACAAAAUAAACAAAUGAGAGUAGAGCUGUCUAGGGGACGAAAUCAUAACACAGCCACAAAGUCACAACUCUUCAAUUGGUAUUCUCAAGAGACGUCGACCCUUCAUCUUAAAGUCAUUGUCACUUUCUGUUUGUAUAAAAAUGAAAUAUAUCAUGAGAAUGAACCAAGUCCAGUGGAUUAUACUUUCCCUGUUUUGCAAUUUGUACGUCCAAGAAAACAAACUUUCAUGUUUCGAAUUUGCAAGAUAGCAUCACCCUUUUUUCCUCAAAAAGGACCGAAAUAGAACAUUAAACUCAAAGCAGAAGCUUCAACUUGUGAGAAUUGAGCUAACAAUCAUCUGAUCUUACGAAAUAUCUAAAAAUUAUUGACGACGCACAGAAGGUAUAAGCCAUACAAGAAUCAAGUAAAAUGGCAAAGCUCAUCAAACAAGGCCCAGAAUCAGUAAACAACAAAGCAAAAAUAUGAAUCAAAGCCAUCGAAAGGAACUGUUUAGGUAUUCUAGGUCUCGAUUCGUGUCAAACCCCUAGGUUCAUUCUUAAUUGAAUUCAAAAUUCCAGGACAUAAGGACAACCUGAAUUGGUGAGCCAAGACAAUUAAAAGGGCACUCAAGCACAAAAAAAAUGUUAAAUAAGGCAGCUGGACUAUGGCAAUUUCAACAGAAAUCAAUGCGAUUUUGUACCUAAAAUACAAUGCUGAUCAGAAAUGACAAAGGCAUGCAGCUCGACUGGAAAAUGCAAAUUUAUCUCAAAGGAAAGCAAAUCUGCAAUAUUACACAGGCUUCAUAUGAUGUUCUGUUAAAGAAGUUCAGUGACAGAAUUCACAUGCGAAAAAAAACAUGAACACCCACUGGUCCUUUCAACAUGGUGAGCCUCAAAGAUCAAUUAUUAUCAAAGGGGAACUUCAACAGCUUUAAACUAGCAAAAACAUGCAGAAAUGAUCAUAAAUUCAAAGAAAGGGGAAACACUUUAGUGAUCCAUGUAUAUAUAUUGAGACCAAGACAAAGAUACGAGCAGAUAUCCUUGAAUAUCAAAGCAUGUCAUAUACAACAGAAGAAACACAGGGAAAGCUCGUUUAUGAAACGAUCAGUCCUUCGACAUGAAAGCAGUCCAUGAACAUAGACCAAUGAAUCAGAAUUACUGCACACUAUUAACACCAGCACGGAUUAUAUUCCAACAGUUGAAACCUUGAACUUUCAUGAAUAAUCACAAAACUUCCCUUUUGCUUCCUCAUAAGAAAAAAAAAUAUGAACUUAAUUACAUUUUUAGGAAUUCAUGGUUAGCUCAAUCUCACAUAACUGAACCUCAAACUUCAAUUUUAAGUCCAAACAAUGGCAACCAACAGACUUGAACCAAGUUUUCAGCUACAAAACAUCGGAGAAAAUCAACAUAACUCAACAGACUUUGCAAAAAUCUCAACUAGUCACAAAUCUAUAAGAAACUACACUCGAACUCAUUAAUAAAGCUCAAAUGAUAGCAACAAUGAAAUACAAACUCAGAAAUUCCAUAGCUUAAGAACUGCCAAAAAACAGAGUUACAUGAUGAAAUAGAAAAUCAAACCUGAAGUUGCAAAAAACCUCUGUUAAUAGUUACAGCCUUAAUAAUAUGCCUUUUUCCUUCGAAUACUAGCGAGGUUUAGCAGCAAUUCAGCAAGACAAUAGUAGAAAACCAAGCUUGAACUUCAAUUUUAUCUCCUUGGAACUCAAAUUCGGAUUCAGAAAAAUAAAAAAUUGUACAUAUGUUUCUCAUAAACUUUGAAAGAAAUCUUCAAAUAAGAAAAAACAAAUCCAAUUAAAGAACAGAAAACUAGAAGUUAAAGAGACCUUUCAACUUUUCUCUCCAAAUUCGUUACCAGCCUCCUUUCAAAAUUGGAUAGAACUUCUUUUUAAAGACAAAUUUCUUAUAAAUGUGGGGCUUGGAUUGAGUAAAAUCGAUCCAACGCCUCACACUCAUCCAGCAAAUCGUUCCCAGAAGCUUCCAAUCGUGAGAUAAAACUCAAUGUCGAGCGAGUGGGAGGAGAGCAAAAUAUUGGCGUCAGACCAUUAGAAAUGGUGAGAUGAGAGAAGGAGGGACGCGUGGAUUAGGGAUUUGGGAUUCACUCGCACGAAUUUGAAUGGAAUCUGGAGCUUGGUUCACGUGUUCUUCGGAGAAGAAAAACAGUAUGCGUUUGAU
rnacentral:lncRNA from 1 species